GUUGGGUGAGGGCGGCGCCGUGAGGGAGAGGCAGCGCUCCCACCCACAAAAUAAACUGUAUCUGUAUAAAAUAUACCAUAUUUACCGUCUAUGCUGUGUAUGUGGUAUAUAUUGCGUAUGUGAUACACGUACACACUAUAUAUAAUGUUAUAGAUGAAAAUUUACCAUAUAACAUACCAUAUAUAUACCACAUAAUAUAGAUACACCCUGUAGUGUGUGUACUGUAUUUAUAGUAUUUUUUGUAUAUUAUAUGUAAUAUAAUAUAUAAAAAUAUUCUAUGUAUACUACGCUGUAUGUCUAUGUGGUAUAUGUCUAAUAUACAGUAUAUAGUAUGUAAAAGGUGCUUUAUGUAACAAUAUACUUUUUGUGUAUAUGUGCGAAUAUAAAUAACAUGCAGUACAUAUAAUACAUAUAAAAUAUGCUGCAUAUAAUAAUAUACUGUAUCUAUAUAUAUAUUUAUAUAUAAAUUACUAUAUAUAAUGCUAUAUUAUUGCUAGGGAGAGAAAAACAUGAGCUCCAUGUCCCAUCCCUGGGAGUGUUCAAGGCCAGGAUGGAUGGCCUAUAACAUAAAUAUUAAAUAUUUACAUAAAAAUGCCACAUGAAUAUGAAAAUUCCUUGCUCUGAGACUUAGAAUUCAGCUGAAAAUUGCUGCUGUGUGUGUUGUAAUUCUGUUAUCUGCCUUAGGGACAAGCUGACCCUCCCUUGGUGUGCUUGGCUGGUUAGUCUGACCUAAGAGACACAGACAAAUAUUUUUAUUAUGUAUUUAUUAUAUUUUUAAUAUAAUGUGUCUGUAUCCAUAUAAAAUAUUUUCUAUAAUAUUAUGCUUCUAUUUAUUUUUAUAUAUACUUUAGCACCACUUUCCAGGGGAAGGCCCAAGAAUGAGCUUUGAAGGACGGGAACGCGACAGCCGCUUUUGACUGGAAGAGGUGGGAAAAAAAAGAGGAAAAAAAAGGAUUUUCCCCGCAAUGUUUGGGGCCAAUUUGAGUCUCCCGAAGCAGCUGCGGAGGGCCGGGAUUGCCCCUGAUCGGCUCAGCACAGAUGGCAGCCCCGCAACCCGCCGGGAUUUCCACCAGGACAUCCCUCCCUCCUCCUCCUUUCCUCUGAACACCCUCCCAGCCACGAGACGAUGGAAUUUCACUCCAGGAAAAUUAAGGAAUCAGGGGCAAACGUAACAAACAUCCGUGUAUUCUGAAAGCAGGAAAAAAUUCUAGUCCUCCAAUAGAAUUCUUUCACUGGCAACUUUGUCUUUCCCACAGUUAAAAUAAUAUUUUAAGUAGGAUAUAGAACAGGUUUAUAUACAAAUAAAGGUGUCUGGGGUUAUUUUUCUGUCUCAAAAGGUAUUAAUGUAUAAAUGUUGACAAUACUGUAUUCAUAUUCUUAUAUAGAUAAUUUUUAUAUCACAAGUGAUUGGAAGUUUUAUCCCACAAGUAAUUUUUCUCUCCAGCCAGGCAGUUUGUACUGUCUGUGUUUAUCCUGACAAAUCCCCCUCUCCAUCCCAUGCUGGAGACACCCAGUUAAAUUCCCCCCCUUUUCUGGAGCCUCAACUUCCCUCUAAUUCCCAGCGCAAAAAAUCGGGAGCAAAAGGAAUUUUGCUGAAAAAAAAAUACAACUUUGAUCUGCAGUCGGGAAGGAAAAGGAUUUACAAUAAUCCGAGCGAGUCCAGCCUAAUUAAAAACCCCCGGGGAUAAAAGUUGUUCCCACCAGACUGCGAGGGGAUCUUCGGUUGUGGCUACAGUCUGACAUCUGUGAGCAUUAAUUAAUUAAUUAAUUAAUACCUGCACUCAUCCUUUAAUAAAGAAGGUGUGCGCUAAUCCUUCCCGAAGCCGAGCUCCGAAAAUCAAAUUUAUUAGCCAAGGGCUGGUUUAGAAACAGAUGGGGUGUAAAGAGCUUGACGGAACAGGGGCAGCGUGGAGAGCGGGAGAUUAAUUAAUUGUUAAGUAAUUGAGUGACUUAAUUAAUUAAUUGUUAAGUAAUUGAGUGCGGGGAGCAAGAAAUCCAAAGCUGCGGGAUGCCACGGGGAUGAGUUUAACAUUGCUGCAUUCCCAAAACUCCUUCGGGAAACCCAGGAGUGACAAGGGACCUUGACAUGUCACCUGUCCCUGGCUCUGUUCCUGUCCCGGUGUCCUCGCACGGCUCAGUUCCAGCAGAAUGACAAAAAUCUGUUCCUGGGCUCCGGGGAGAGCACAGAGAAAUGAUUCCUGCUGUGUUUGUAUCAAACACUCCGCCUGAAGUUUGUGUCCUACAAAGAGAAUUAACGGGGGGCUGGGGGAGCUGUUAGACCUUGGCUCUGUCUUUGUAAGGCUCCCGUGAAUAUUUAACGAGUUAAUCUUUUGUCAGGCUUACACCCUGCGCCGAUGUCCGCCGGCAGGCACGGCUUAGCACUGAAAGGGAUUUUUGUUGGCUUUUGGUGUGGUUAUCACUGAAAGGGUUUGGGUUUUGUUGGCCUUGAGAUCCUCACCUUGUGAGAACUGAAAGCAGGAACAGGUAAAUAAAGGAAACGAGGAUGGUGGUGUUAAUGAUAAGCUGUGCAGGGAAUGGGGGACAGGCAGGCAGCUGUCCACAUCGGCAGGACACAAAUCCCGGGUCAAACUGGGAACCUGAGUGAAAUCUGACAUGUACCCAAAGGAGCUGUGUGAGAACCCAGAUAUUGAUGGACCCAAAGGAUCUGUGCAAGAACCCAAAAUAUUCAAACACUCAAAGGAGCUGUGCAAGAACCCAAAAUAUUAAAUCAGUCCUCCAAAGGAGCUGUGUGAGAAUCCAAAAUAUUCAAUCAAUCACCCAAAGGAGCUGUGUGAGAACCCAAAAUAUUGAUGGAUCCAAAGGAGCUGUGUAAGAACCCCAAACAUUUAAUCACCCAAAGGAGGUGUGCAAGAACCAAAAUAUUCAUCACCCAAAGGAGCUGUGUAAGAACCCAAAACAUUGACAAACCCAAAGGAUCUGUGCAAGAACCCAAAAUAUUCAAUCACUCAAAGGAGCUGUGCAAGAACCCAAAAUAUUAAAUCAGUCACCCAAAGGAGCUGUGUGAGAAUCCAAAAUAUUCAAUCACUCAAAGGAGUUCUGCAAGAACCCCAAACAUUCAUCACCCAAAGGAGCUGUGUAAGACCCCAAAUAUUUAAUUGCCCAAAGGAUUUGUGUAAGAACCCUGAACAUUUCAUCACCCAGAGGAGCUGUUUAAGCU